GACGAACGCUGGCGGCGUGCUUAACACAUGCAAGUCGAACGGAAAGGCCCUGCUUUUGUGGGGUGCUCGAGUGGCGAACGGGUGAGUAACACGUGAGUAACCUGCCCUUGACUUUGGGAUAACUUCAGGAAACUGGGGCUAAUGCCGGAUAGGAGCUCCUGCUGCAUGGUGGGGGUUGGAAAGUUUCGGCGGUUGGGGAUGGACUCGCGGCUUAUCAGCUGGUUGGUGGGGUAGUGGCUUACCAAGGCUUUGACGGGUAGCCGGCCUGAGAGGGUGACCGGCCACAUUGGGACUGAGAUACGGCCCAGUCUCCUACGGGAGGCAGCAGUGGGGAAUAUUGCACAAUGGGCGGAAGCCUGAUGCAGCAACGCCGCGUGCGGGAUGACGGCCUUCGGGUUGUAAACCGCUUUCGCCUGUGACGAAGCGUGAGUGACGGUAAUGGGUAAAGAAGCACCGGCUAACUACGUG
rnacentral:rRNA from 1 species